rnacentral:rRNA from 1 species
GACGAACGCUGGCGGCGUGCCUAAUACAUGCAAGUCGAGCGAACCAAUAAGAAGCUUGCUUUUUGUUGGUUAGCGGCGGACGGGUGAGUAACACGUGGGUAACCUGCCUGUAAGACCGGGAUAACUCCGGGAAACCGGUGCUAAUACCGGAUAGAUUAUCUUUCCGCAUUGAGGGAUAAGGAAAGAUGGCUAUUGCCAUCCCUUACAGAUGGGCCCGCGGCGCUUUUGCUAGUUGGUGAGGUAACGGCUCACCAAGGCGACGAUGCGUAGCCGACCUGAGGGGGUGAUCGGCCACACUGGGAGUGAGACACGGCCCAGACUCCUACGGGAGGCAGCAGUAGGGAAUCGUACGCAAUGGACGAAAGUCUGACGGAGCAACGCCGCGUGAGCGAAGAAGGUCUUCGGAUCGUAAAGCUCUGUUGUUAGGGAAGAACAAGUAUCGGAGGAAAUGCCGGUACCUUGACGGUACCGGACGAGAAAGCCACGGCUAACUACGUG